UACGUAGGGGGCUAGCGUUGUCCGGAAUCAUUGGGCGUAAAGCGCGUGUAGGCGGUCCGGUAAGUCCGCUGUGAAAGUCGGGGGCUCAACCCUCGGAUGCCGGUGGAUACUGUCGGGCUUGAGUACGGAAGGGGCGAGUGGAAUUCCCGGUGUAGCGGUGAAAUGCGCAGAUAUCGGGAGGAACACCUAUGGCGAAGGCAGCUCGCUGGGACGUUACUGACGCUGAGACGCGAAAGCGUGGGGAGCAAACAGG
rnacentral:rRNA from 1 species